GUUAUAUGUUUUUCAACCAAUACAUUGAUUAUUCAACUAUCAAACCCGUUAUAAAACAGAUUCUUCAAGAUCAGUUUCUUCAAAAGUGGUCCAGUAAUAUUGAUAACUCGUCUCGUGGCGAAUAUUAUAAGUUAUUUAAAUCUCAGUUUGGUCUGGAAAAUUAUCUAUUACGUCUUCCAGAGGAUAAAAGAAUCUGGAUUUCAAAACUGAGAACAUGUAACCUAAAAAUUCCUAUGGAAACUGGCAGAUGGUACAACAUCGCUAGAACAGAUC
rnacentral:lncRNA from 1 species